rnacentral:rRNA from 1 species
GAUGAACGCUGGCGGCGUGCCUAAUACAUGCAAGUCGAGCGAACAGACGAGGAGCUUGCUCCUCUGAUGUUAGCGGCGGACGGGUGAGUAACACGUGGAUAACCUACCUAUAAGACUGGGAUAACUUCGGGAAACCGGAGCUAAUACCGGAUAACAUGUUGAACCGCAUGGUUCAACAGUGAAAGACGGUCUUGCUGUCACUUAUAGAUUGAUCCGCGCCGCAUUAGCUAGUUGGUAAGGUAACGGCUUACCAAGGCAACGAUGCAGAGCCGACCUGAGAGGGUGAUCGGCCACACUGGAACUGAGACACGGUCCAGACUCCGACGGGAGGCAGCAGUAGGGAAUCUUCCGCAAUGGGCGAAAGCCUGACGGAGCAACGCCGCGUGAGUGAAGAAGGUCUUCGGAUCGUAAAACGCUGUUAGUAGGGAAGAACAAAUGUGUAAGUAACUAUGCACGUCUUGACGGUACCUAAUCAGAAAGCCACGGCUAACUACGUG